AUGAGCCAUGUACACGAUGAAACCAUUUUUGUGUUCUUCAGCACCUCAGCCUUCCCAUGGAUCCUGCUGUCUUGUUCUCUUCCUUUUGGUAGAGAAGUUCCAAGUGAUAACAACCGGAAGUUCACGUACUACAUGUACCAUAUAACUGGAAUUAACCGAUGCAAGUCCAAGAAGGAUUGGCCGGUGUUGCCAGCUGGCGUCAAGUUCGAUCCCACGGAUCAGGAGCUGAUCGAGCACCUUGAGGCCAAAGUGACUGCUGACAGCGCGAGAUCUCACCCUCUCAUCGAUUUAUUCAUACCAACCAUCGACAGCGAGCACGACAUAUGCUACACCCAUCCUGAGAAACUUCCAGCGCAAUUCCAGGGCGUUCAAAAGGGGCACGUGGACGCGUCGCAAGAUACAGUCGGAGUGCGGCAUGCACGCGAUGUGGCACAAGACCGGCACUACCUUGCCGGUGGCGGUCAACGGCCGGCAGACGGGCAGCAAAAAGGUUCUGGUGCUGCACACCAACAAGAACUUCGACCAGUAGAGGACCAACUAGGUGAUGCACCAGUACCACCUCGGGGACCUGGAGCAAGAGAAGGAGCGGGAGCUGGUCCUCUGCAAGAUUUUCUACCAGACGAACACUAG
rnacentral:rRNA from 1 species